AACGAACGCUGGCGGCAUGCCUAACACAUGCCAGUCGAACGAGACCUUCGGGUCUAGUGGCGCACGGGUGCGUAACGCGUGGGAACCUGCCCUUAGGUUCGGAAUAACUCCCCGAAAGGGGUGCUAAUACCGGAUAAUGUCUUCGGACCAAAGAUUUAUCGCCUUUGGAUGGGCCCGCGUUGGAUUAGCUAGUUGGUAGGGUAAAAGCCUACCAAGGCGACGAUCCAUAGCUGGUCUGAGAGGAUGAUCAGCCACACUGGGACUGAGACACGGCCCAGACUCCUACGGGAGACAGCAGUGGGGAAUAUUGGACAAUGGGCGAAAGCCUGAUCCAGCAAUGCCGCGUGAGUGAUGAAGGCCUUAGGGUUGUAAAGCUCUUUUACCCGGGAUGAUAAUGACAGUACCGGGAGAAUAAGCUCCGGCUAACUCCGUG
rnacentral:rRNA from 1 species